GUUGCGGCAAAAUCCGCAGCCGGGAUUGGCGUCCUGUCUGUCAAACGGCGUCCGAACCGCGCCAAUAAUCCAUUUGCGCGGUUUUCCU
rnacentral:sRNA from 1 species